rnacentral:rRNA from 1 species
UUAGCCGGUACUCGCGAAUCAUCUAGUUNAGAGUUUGAUCAUGGCUCACAUUGAACGCUGGCGGCAGGCCUAACACAUGCAAGUCGAGCGGUAACACAGGGAGCUUGCUCCUGGGUGACGAGCGGCGGACGGGUGAGUAAUGUCUGGGAAACUGCCUGAUGGAGGGGGAUAACUACUGGAAACGGUAGCUAAUACCGCAUAACGUCUUCGGACCAAAGUGGGGGACCUUCGGGCCUCAUGCCAUCAGAUGUGCCCAGAUGGGAUUAGCUAGUANGUGGGGUAACGGCUCACCUAGUGCGACGAUCCCUAGCUGGUCUGAGAGGAUGACCAGCCACACUGGAACUGAGACACGGUCCAGACUCCUACGGGAGGCAGCAGUGGGGAAUAUUGCACAAUGGGCGCAAGCCUGAUGCAGCCAUGCCGCGUGUAUGAAGAAGGCCUUCGGGUUGUAAAGUACUUUCAGCGAGGAGGAAGGCAUUAAGGUUAAUAACCUAGGUGAUUGACGUUACUCGCAGAAGAAGCACCUGGCUAACUCCGUGCCAGCAGACGCGGUAAUACGGAGGGUGCAAGCGUUAAUCGGAAUUACUGGGCGUUAAGCCGCACGCAGAGCGGGUCUGUCANAGUCCGGAUUGUUGNAAUUCCCCGGGGCUUCAAACCU